rnacentral:rRNA from 1 species
UACGUAGGUGGCGAGCGUUGUCCGGAUUUACUGGGCGUAAAGAGCGCGCAGGCGGCUGGUCAAGUCCGAUGUGAAAGCUCCCGGCUUAACUGGGAAAUUGCAUCGGAAACUGAUCGGCUGGAAGGUGGGAGAGGGUAGCGGAAUUCCCGGUGUAGUGGUGAAAUGCGCAGAUAUCAGGAGGAACACCGGUGGCGAAGGCGGGUCUCUGGGCCGAUACUGACGCUGAGGAGCGAAAGCGUGGGGAGCGAACAGG